rnacentral:lncRNA from 1 species
CUGGGAUCGUGGCCCCAAGGAAGGGCUUGUGAUGAGCAGGACACCUAGCUUGCCGGCAGUUUCUGUCCCCUCUGUGCCUCCCAGCGGGGCGGAGAAGAGUCCUGCUGGGAGUGAAGGGGGAUCAGCUGGGAUUGGGCCCAGGUAGGCUCUGGUUUUGCUCAGUGCUCAGUGUGCCUGCAUGGGGCGGUGCCAGGCAGACAUGUCUCAGAGCUGGUGGCAGCCCCGUGGGACCUGGGCAGGACACCAGUGGAGAUCUCGUGUCUGGAGGCUGUGUGAGGGAGUGAGACCCGGACAGUCCCGGACCAGCCCCUGAGCAGCGUUCCACCAUUCCGUGCUCUCCACGUGGCCUGUGAUGUGCAUUUCCAGCCCAGUGAAAUCAGAGGUUUCCAGUUGGCUUGGUGGUUGUUCGUACCCAUGAAGGAAGGACGAGAAGCAAGGUGCAGGAAGGAGAGUGAGGCAGCUGCCCCUCGGCCACCGGGAAGCACCAGGAACCACUGCAUGCCCAGCAGCACCCCUCGAAGUGCCUGGCUAAGGCCAGCACCCGUCUCAAGAGACAAGAGCUCUGGAUCCAUCAAGGAUUCUUACUUUGGAGAAUAUAGGAACUUCUGGCCCUGUGGAGAUGUUUGGGUAGAAAGCAAAGACCCUCGACUGAAGGACCAGCUUGUGUGUGGACCUGAGCUAGCAGAAGACGUGAGGCGAAGGGGGCCUGUGACUCAGAGGGCUUGCCAUCGCAGACUGGGGCCCUCUUUCCUUCGGCUGACAUCCUCUUCGGCUGCCUGCUGCUGGCAUCUUCCCCGCCCAGCCCCUGCAUCCCUGUUUCCCCACACCCUCGCCGCCCGCCCCACCUCCCACACCUGCCUGCCUUUGCACAGAGCGAUCCCUCGUGUUUGCUCCACUAUCGUCCAGCCGGAUGCUGAGUGA